GUACUCGCUUCGGCAGUACAUAUACUAAAAUUUGAACGACACAGAGAUUAGCAUGGCCCCUGUGUGGGGAUGACACGGAAAGUCUCACGACUUUCCAUAUUUUA